UGACCACUCUCCCUCGGACUGUUAAGGACCCGUGUACCUGUGUCCAGCCCCGAGAUCGAGGCAAGCAGACGAGGGCAGGGCUGGGGCAAGGCGAGCAGGAGACCUCCCAGUGCGGCCCCGGCAGCAGAGGAAGCACGCAGAAGGUCGCUGUCUCGCCCGUCUGGUUCACGGGUUUAAAACCAAACAAAACGCGAAAAACAACGCCUCCUUCACUGUGGCCCUUCGCGGCUCCUGCAGAGAAGAAGAUGCGCGACGUCAAACGGAGACGCUGUUUGAAAGAUUUAAGAGCCGGUGCCAAAUGCUCCUGGCGACACACGUCUCCUCGCAGCCCAAACCAGAGCUUCCGCCCUCUCCCCUCUAACACCUGCUCGCUCGCUCUUUCUCUCUCUCUCUCUCUCUCUCUCUCUCUCUCUCUCUCUCUCCUCGGCUGCUCCAGAAAGUGCCACAGACCCCACGGCCUUCUCUUCUCCGGUCGACUCUUCCGCGGCCUUUGCCUCCGUCUUCCCCUCCUUCCAAGCUCUGCUAGGACUGCCAGAUCCUUGACCUUCUCUCCGCCCUCUGCCUGUCUCCUUGUCCCAUCUGCCGCAUCGGAUAUUAUUUACACGUCCUUCUUGAAACUUC